AACCAGAAGGGUGAUGAAGGGGUUCCUGCUCUGGCUAAAGGAGUUUGGUGGGCUGUGUUUGCUAAACUUGGAAGUGAAAGGACCUGAGAACUCUAACACUAAGAUGCUCCCCUGGCUUGCUUCAAGCUUUGAAAACUCAGAGCAAAGCUAGAAGAAACUAGUGGGCAUUGGAUUUGCUUGAGUGACAUCAACACUGGAAUCCCAAUCUGAAUCCAUGACUGAGAGCUGUAGUAUAACCCCCACAAUUUAAUGAACUGCCAGGAUCUGCUUUUCGUUACUUCAAACACUGGAGAAUAAGAAGAGAACACAAAAGAACUGAACACUGGAAGUCUGCUUCGGAACUCACUGACACCAGCUUGACACCAGUGUAACUCCACUGACUUCUGUAGAGUUCUGGGGCCUGGUCCUACUCCCACUAAGUUAGACUCCUGUGUGCAGAAUCCUGCAACAGGAAUGGCUGAACCCUGCAAGCACUAGAGACUGAAUGGAUUCCUGCUACAAUAGCUCUGAACUGCUUUUUUCUCCCUCUCCUCACUUUCUAACUGAAGUCUCUGCUUUCUCUCCUUUUUUGGUCCAUGUUUAUGUUGUUCAACCUUUUCAAGGCACCAAAAAUCCUAAAGUGAAGCCCAUUUUGACACAGACAUCCUUUACAAAGCUUUAAUAAUUUUGAGGGCCACAUUUCAAGCUUGGGUGCCUAAAGUUAGAUUGGUCCUUGAGUCACUAUUGCUUUGAUUGCUGAGGGUGGGAGUCUAACUUACUGGACUUUAAAUCAGUCGUAACUAAAAGCCCAGCAUUGUAGAGUCAGAGAAAGUUGGAAAUGGAAAGGAGCUGCUAGUAUUAUCUACUAUAAUCUAUCCCCCAUCACAGCAGGAUUCGUCCUUACCUCUGAGGACAGCAGUAGUCUGGGAGCUGGUUAAGAGCGCCAUUUAAAAGCCACUUUACACAGAUGUCAGAAGUCCUCUGUAAAUGAGCCCCUCACAAACAUGUUGGGGAGUGACAGAUGAAGCAGCAAAGAGAGAGCCAGGAGCAUUUGAAUGCUCAGCACACUGCUGAGACUAAAAUGGUUGGUAGGACUCCUUCU